UCCCUGAUGGUCCAGUGGCUAAGACUCUGUGCUCCCAAUGCAGGAGGCCUGGGUUCAAUCCCCGGUCAGGCAA
rnacentral:tRNA from 1 species